GACGAACGCUGGCGGCGUGCUUAACACAUGCAAGUCGAACGGAAAGGCCCUGCCUUUGUGGGGUGCUCGAGUGGCGAACGGGUGAGUAACACGUGAGUAACCUGCCCUUGACUUUGGGAUAACUUCAGGAAACUGGGGCUAAUACCGGAUAGGAGCUCCUGCUGCAUGGUGGGGGUUGGAUAGUUUCGGCGGUUGGGGAUGGACUCGCGGCUUAUCAGCUUGUUGGUGGGGUAGUGGCUUACCAAGGCUUUGCCGGGUAGCCGGCCUGAGAGGGUGACCGGCCACAUUGGGACUGAGAUGCGGCCCAGACUCCUACGGGAGGCAGCAGUGGGGAAUAUUGCACAAUGGGCGGAAGCCUGAUGCAGCAACGCCGCGUGCGGGAUGACGGCCUUCGGGUUGUAAACCGCUUUCGCCUGUGACGAAGCGUGAGUGACGGUAAUGGGUGAAGAAGCACCGGCUAACUACGUG
rnacentral:rRNA from 1 species